CUAAGGCUCCAGAGGAAGCCACGGCUAACUCUGUGCCAGCAGCCGCGGUAAUACAGAGGCGGCAAGCGUUGUUCGGAAUUAUUGGGCGUAAAGAGCACGUAGGCGGCCCUGCAAGUCAGUUGUGAAAGCCUUCCGCUUAACGGAAGAAUGCCAGCUGAUACUACAGGGCUUGAGUACGGGAGGGGAGAGUGGAACUUCCGGUGGAGCGGUGAAAUGCGUAGAUAUCAGAAGGAACGCCGGCGGCGAAAGCGACUCUCCGGCCCGAAACUGACGCUGAGUGUGCGAAAGCUAGGGGAGCAAACGGGAUUAGAUACCCCGGUAGUCCUAGCCGUAAA
rnacentral:rRNA from 1 species